GCCCCUGUGGCGGAACUGGUAGACGCGGCAGACUCAAAAUCUGUUUCCAGAAAUGGAGUGGGAGUUCGAGUCUCCCCGGGGGCACCA
rnacentral:tRNA from 1 species